ACGAACGCUGGCGGCGUGCUUAACACAUGCCAGUCGAACGGUGAAGCGCCUUCCUUUUUGGUGGGUGUGGAUGAGUGGCGAACGGGUGAGUAACACGUGAGUAACCUGCCCCCUUCUUCUGGAUAACCGCAUGAAAGUGUGGCUAAUACGGGAUAUUCUGGGUCUGUCGCAUGAUGGGUCUGGGAAAGAUAUUGUUUCGGUGGGGGAUGGGCUCGCGGCCUAUCAGCUUGUUGGUGGGGUGAUGGCCUACCAAGGCGGUGACGGGUAGCCGGCCUGAGAGGGUGGACGGUCACACUGGGACUAAGACACGGCCCAGACUCCUACGGGAGGCAGCAGUGGGGAAUAUUGCACAAUGGGCGCAAGCCUGAUGCAGCGACGCCGCGUGAGGGAUGGAGGCCUUCGGGUUGUGAACCUCUUUCGCCAGUGAAGCAGGCCUGCCUCGUUUGUGGGUGGGUUGACGGUAGCUGGAUAAGAAGCGCCGGCUAACUACGUG
rnacentral:rRNA from 1 species